rnacentral:tRNA from 1 species
GGAAAGGUGUCCGAGCGGUUUAAGGAACCGGUCUUGAAAACCGGCGGCGUGAGAGCGCCCGUGGGUUCGAAUCCCACCCUUUCCG